AUUACGACACAAAACCAAGAGAAAUAUGUGGGACUAGCUAUACGUACACCUUUACAAGAAAAGAAACAAGAUUAUUGUACAGUAUUGUUACUGCCGUUACGCGUGAUGUCACGCACUCAUUAGCUACAUCCCGAGAGGCGUUGCGAGUUAAAAAAGGAAGCAAGUGCUCGAUCGAAGUGGGAAUCGUUUCAUCGCCUGUUUAACCGUCAUCGUUUAUAUUAUAAGGACACAAACCUUAUAGGUGUGAAUGGAGAAUAUCACAUCAUCAAAGCUCAAUCCAGAAAUACUCUUAAAAUAGAUGCCCUUUACUCUGCUGCAAAGUACAAAUAUUAUCUGUGGACUUGGUGUUCCCUCUGCACCACAUAUAAUUAUUCCAGAAGUGUCAGCAAUAAGGCUUUGCUUGUCUUGCACAUUCU